rnacentral:rRNA from 1 species
UACGAAGGGGGCUAGCGUUGUUCGGAAUUACUGGGCGUAAAGCGCACGUAGGCGGACAUUUAAGUCAGGGGUGAAAUCCCGAGGCUCAACCUCGGAACUGCCUUUGAUACUGGGUGUCUUGAGUAUGGAAGAGGUAAGUGGAAUUGCGAGUGUAGAGGUGAAAUUCGUAGAUAUUCGCAGGAACACCAGUGGCGAAGGCGGCUUUCUGGUCCAUUACUGACGCUGAGGUGCGAAAGCGUGGGGAGCAAACAGG